AGAGUUUGAUCAUGGCUCAGGACGAACGCUUGCGGCGUGCCUAAGAAAUGCAAGUCGAGCGGGGAACUAGAUUUCGGUUUAGUUCUUAGCGGCGAACGGUCGCGUAACACGUAAGCAACCUGCCCCGAAGACCGGGACAACAGCUCGAAAGGGCUGCUAAUACCGGAUGUGGCCACCCUGUCGCAUGGUGGGGUGAUUAAACCGAGCAAUCGGCUUCGGGAGGGGCUUGCGGCCUAUCAGCUAGUUGGUGGGGUAACGGCCUACCAAGGCGACGACGGGUAGCUGGUCUGAGAGGACGGCCAGCCGGACUGGGACUGAGAUACGGCCCAGACUCCUACGGGGGGCAGCAAUUAGGAAUCUUGCGCAAUGGGCGAAAGCCUGACGCAGCGACGCCGCGUGGGGGAAGAAGGCCUUAGGGUUGUAAACCUCUUUCAGGUGGGACGAAGCCACUCGGGUUAAUAGCCCAGAGGGUGACGGUACCGCCAGAAGAAGCCCCGGCUAACUACGUGCCAGCAGCCGCGGUAAUAC
rnacentral:rRNA from 1 species